rnacentral:lncRNA from 1 species
AUGCCAUCACUCUUUUAUAUAUAUAGAUGGAUAAAAGCAAUUAUUCCCCUCUCUCUAAUUAGGACUUUAUUUUUCUUUUCUUUUUGUUGUAUCAACCUAGAGCCGUGGAUGAUGGGUUGUGUUGUCAAAUUUCGAGGUUGGGGGGCCUGUAGUUUUGUUGUUUUGUGGGUCACCGUGAUGCCAUCACUCUUUUAUAUAUAUAGAUUAAUUAUAUCUUUGGAUUUGUGCUAUCACCAGAAACUAGAAUGGCUCCUUUAUAUCAAUGUAGCAGACAUAUGAUGGAUAUUAUCAGCCGUUUCUGUAUGCUUUGCUUUUUUUUCCUUGGGAAGAGAUAAAGGGAAUGGUGACCAUUACAGAAGAAAUAACAUUUCUGCCCUGCUGACUUGAACAUUGUGGGAGAGAAAAAGGGCUAAAUAUCUUAUGAAUGCUUUUUUUUUUAAAAAAGAGGAAAGUAUGGUGUAAUCUGCAGGAAGUAUAAAUCAAUAUGGCAUUUUUGUCUCUAACAGCCUUUCCUAACCUGUAUGUAACCUGUGGAGCCUGGAAUUGGUUACAGUUCCGGAGGCGGAAAAGCCCUGAUAAUCUACUGUUGUAGCUGGAGAUUUUGCAAAAUAACUCUUUGAUUUCUUGUUGUUAAGAAAGAAUUAAACCUUAUUAUUAAGAAAUAGCUACUUUUAAAUAGUCUGGGGGGAAAAUUUCACCUGAAUGCCAGAAGUCUCUGGCUUGUGGUAUAAAACACACCAGGCCAGAAUAUGCGCAUAUUAUUCGCAUCAUUGUCCCUGCACUUGCAAAAAACACAAUGAUUGUGGUGGCACAAUGGGUUAAACUCUUGUGCUGCUGAACUGCUGAUCUGAAGGUUGGCAGUUCGAAAACGUGAGACAGUGUGAGCUCUCGCUGUUAGUUCUAACUCCUGCCUGUUUAGCGGUUCGAAAACAUGCAAAUGUGAGUACAUAAAUAGGUACCGCUACAGCACAAAAAGGCAAAAAGAAACUCCAAGCAGUCUUGCCAGCCACACAACCAGGAGGUGUCUUCAGACAACACAGGCUCCUCAACUUGUAAACACAGAAGAGUACCUCUCCCAGAG